GCCAUGGGCUUUGCAGGUUGCAAGAUGCACCUUUACAACAUUUGCCUCUUUGCUUGAUAAACAGUAGAGUUGCCCCAGGUAUAACACUGUUAGAUAAAGCAAAGCGCCCUCCAAGGCAGAGAUAUUUAUAGUUCUGCUAUUAAAACGUGCCUUACAGCUCAUUUCUCUAACGUAAUGUUGGCAAAAUUAGGCUGAAAUUACUGCGAAAACUGCUUCUCACCAGAUUCUUUUUUAUAGUUCUGUCCUUUGAUGAGGUCGGGAGUCGGCGGGGUCAGCUUUCCUCGGUCGCCGUGAAUGGAACAAGGAAGCUGCUGUGUGCUGUGAGAGGAAGAGCCAACUGCUGCAAAACAGAGUGAGGUGGUCGCCCUUUUACAGCAUUAUCAGGAAGAUGCGAAAUAAACGUGACAAAGCGAUACACUCCUUUAAAUCUGCCUUAAUUUUACUGGGAACACUGUUACUGUGCGUUUCAGCCAUGAGCAAGAGUUUAUGCUGAAGCUGUGAGUUUUCCCAAGAAAGCAGAGGAGAGACACGUGUACAGGAUGCAAGCGCACAGUGAGUCCUGUCCUUGCUCUGCAAGAUGAGCCGUUUCCAUUUCUCCAGUUGGUUUUGUCUCUGCUGGCUAAUUGGGUCUGCAUGGACGAGGUGGUGUCUUCAACUCUGGGGAAGGUUCCUGCAUCCCAGAGGCAGUGCUGCCUUUGGGGAGGGCUCGUGGUGUGCAGCUCCGCCGUCCCAGCCGGUGUGGAAAUAGUGGAGAACUGUGACCUAUUGUACCACCUAUAAAUGAAAAAAUGCGGAAACACUCUCUUUUGAAGACACACAAAAGACAUAUUUGGAGAGGUUCCAGUUUCGAGUGCUUGAGCGGUGCGCCGAGGAGCAAGGAGGAAGAAAUGCCCGUUCCUGAGGUGCGCUGAGAGCACGAACCGCUCGGCUCGGCCGCCUCCGUGCAACAAAAGCACUACAAAUAAUUAGAUUAGUGUUUCCCUGGCACAGGUGCUGAACCCGACACGGAGCGGUGCCACGGAGCGGGGCGGGCAGCCGGACAGCGCGGAGCAUCGCGAGCAGUUGGUAACAUUUGGCAGCUGAACAGAGAAAAAAAAUGACUGCUAGGGAAAUCUCGACCGCCGCUAAUUAGCAGCAAUGAACUGUGGGUAAGGACAGUACAUUUUAAUGUGAGAAGAAUUUUACAAUAACCACCACACUGAAAGAAAUAGAACGAAAUGCUCCCUAGCUGACCCUUGUGGCAAUCUAAGCUGCAUAUUGCAAUAAUCCUGUAAAUUACUAUGCUUUUUUAUACAGUAACUUGGAGUUAAUUAGUAAUUUAACAUUCCUCUACGCUAUUAAAUGUCUUUCUUGCAUUAUAUUAUGUUGUUUCAUGGUCUUACCUUAACACUAAUGGGGUUUAGUUAUAUUUUCUCAAAACAGUAACAGUAAAAUAA